UAUUUUUUGGUUUAGUGGGAAAGUGGUUGGUUCGGAGGUUUUAUAGGUCGUGGGUUCGAACCCCGCCGGGGGAA